AUUGAACGCUGGCGGCAUGCUUUACACAUGCAAGUCGAACGGUAACAGGCCUUCGGGUGCUGACGAGUGGCGAACGGGUGAGUAAUGCAUCGGAACGUACCCAGAGGUGGGGGAUAACGCAGCGAAAGCUGUGCUAAUACCGCAUGUGAUCUGAGGAUGAAAGCGGGGGACCGAGCAGCAAUGUUUGGCCUCGCGCCUUUGGAGCGGCCGGUGUCGGAUUAGCUAGUGGGUGGGGUAAAGGCCUACCAAGGCGACGAUCCGUAGCUGGUCUGAGAGGACGACCAGCCACACUGGGACUGAGACACGGCCCAGACUCCUACGGGAGGCAGCAGUGGGGAAUGUUGGACAAUGGGCGCAAGCCUGAUCCAGCAAUGCCGCGUGCGGGAAGAAGGCCUUCGGGUUGUAAACCGCUUUUGGCAGGAACGAAACGGUGUCCGCUAAUACCGGGCGCUAAUGACGGUACCUGCAGAAUAAGCACCGGCUAACUACGUG
rnacentral:rRNA from 1 species